rnacentral:rRNA from 1 species
UGGGGAAUUUUGGACAAUGGGCGAAAGCCUGAUCCAGCAAUGCCGCGUGUGUGAAGAAGGCCUUCGGGUUGUAAAGCACUUUUGUCCGGAAAGAAAUCCUUGGCUCUAAUACAGUCGGGGGAUGACGGUACCGGAAGAAUAAGCACCGGCUAACUACGUGCCAGCAGCCGCGGUAAUACGUAGGGUGCAAGCGUUAAUCGGAAUUACUGGGCGUAAAGCGUGCGCAGGCGGUUUGCUAAGACCGAUGUGAAAUCCCCGGGCUCAACCUGGGAACUGCAUUGGUGACUGGCAGGCUAGAGUAUGGCAGAGGGGGGUAGAAUUCCACGUGUAGCAGUGAAAUGCGUAGAGAUGUGGAGGAAUACCGAUGGCGAAGGCAGCCCCCUGGGGCCAAUACUGACGCUCAUGCACGAAAGCGUGGGGAGCAAACAGGAUUAGAUACCCUGGUAGUCCACGCCCUAAACGAUGUCAACUAGUUGUUGGGGAUUCAUUUCCUUAGUAACGUAGCUAACGCGUGAAGUUGACCGCCUGGGGAGUACGGUCGCAAGAUUAAAACUUAAAUGAAUUG